rnacentral:rRNA from 1 species
UACGAAAGGGGCUAGCGUUGCUCGGAAUCACUGGGCGUAAAGGGUGCGUAGGCGGGUUUUUAAGUCAGGGGUGAAAUCCUGGAGCUCAACUCCGAAAUGGCAUUGGAAACUACCUUGCUCGAGGGUUGGAGGGGGGACUGGAAUUCUCGGUGUAGCAGUGAAAUGCGUAGAUAUCGAGAGGAACACCAGUGGCGAAGGCGAGUCCCUGGACAACUCCUGACACUGAGGCACGAAAGCUAGGGGAGCAAACAGG